UACAGAGGGGGCAAGCGUUGUUCGGAAUCACUGGGCGUAAAGCGCACGUAGGCGGAUUUCUAAGUCGGUGGUGAAAUCCUGGAGCUCAACUCCAGAACUGCCUCCGAUACUGGGAGUCUUCGAGUCCGGGAGAGGUGAGUGGAACUGCGAGUGUAGAGGUGAAAUUCGUAGAUAUUCGCAAGAACACCAGUGGCGAAGGCGGCUCACUGGCCCGGUACUGACGCUGAGGUGCGAAGGCGUGGGGAGCAAACAGG
rnacentral:rRNA from 1 species